rnacentral:lncRNA from 1 species
AGGGGCGUAUAAAUUAACAUGUAAUAACUAUUGAGGGGAUUUUUUUUUUUGGUAAUUUCUGAAAAAUGCGUAAGAUUGCGUUCUGCUGCUAGUAGCUUCAUGAUGUAAUAAAGGAGAUCCUUAUGUGGUUAUGUAGCGAAGCAUGUUCCUCUAAAGGAGGUAAUGUAGUUGCAUAGUAACUGUGAAAUGGAAUUUAUACUGUACAAUUUAUAUAGUUUUCCUUCUUAAUCUUGGAAACUGCUGCUAGAAAAUAGCGUUGACUGGCAUUGCCCACUCAAGGUUUUACACUGAACGCAGAGCAUCUCUGCCCUUCCAUAAAGGAGGAGGCAAGCCUGCCAGACAGCCUGAACGGGAAGUGUGAGCGCCGGUGGGGCCCAUGGGAAGAGGACUCUUUCGGCUCCACAGAUGGAAACAAGAGUUGCAGUGCUGCAGUUCGCUUCCUGAAACGUCAGCAGGGCAAACGAGUCGCUGGUAACCUGACUGUGAAAACCCGACAGACAACAUUUCUUUGCCUCAUCUGGCCAAGCUCUUUGGUCUUCAAGAUGUGGUCUCAAAGUAUGAGCUGAAGGAGUCUUCUGCCUCACUUCUCCAGUACUUGCCCAAUGGGAGCCCAUUUCUCUUCCC